rnacentral:misc_RNA from 1 species
UCCGGUUUGGCACCGGCAGUCCUCCCAGAGUCCUCGACUUGACUCGCUAGCAACUGGGAGCGGGGGUUGCGCUCGUUGCGGGACUUAACCCAACAUCUCACGACACGAGCUGACGACAGCCAUGCACCACCUGUGCACCGGUCCCGAAGGAGGGCCGUAUUUCUACGGAUUUCCGGUGCAUGUCAAGCCCUGGUAAGGUUCUUCGCGUUGCAUCGAAUUAAUCCACAUAAUCCACCGCUUGUGCGGGUCCCCGUCAAUUCCUUUGAGUUUUAACCUUGCGGCCGUACUCCCCAGGCGGUCAACUUCACGCGUUAGCUUCGUUACCAAGGAAUUGCUUCCCCGACAACCAGUUGACAUAGUUUGGGGCGUGGACUAC